rnacentral:lncRNA from 1 species
GUUGCCUCGAAGAACGUGUGGUAGGCCAGCUGGGCUGUGCAGUGCUAGCUCCGGACAGCAGAGUGCAGUGCAUGUACAGCAGAGAGGAAUGUAUCUGUCAGGCUGCUGCUAGAGGGAAACAUCCACGUCUAUGCACUGAUCAGGCUGCAUGAGCUGUACAAACCCAUCGGACACCACAGUUGUGUGUGUUGUUGGCAUUGCUGCAGUUGCCACAUCUUUGCUGCUGUUGAACACCAAAUCAUGCUGCAGUCCCACCUUCAGUUAGCGUAGGCACAUCCUGAGAAUGAGUUAGAAGUGAUUACAUAUCUGUUCUGUCUUUGAUCUCUGGAAAAUUCUUCUUAUGUUUUUAUUCUCUUAAAAAAUGUUUUCUGUGCUCAAAGAAAAUAAGUAAUCAAAUGAGUUGUUAAUUUCCCUGAUGUUGGAGCAUCUGUUCUCCCUCAUUGGAGUUAGGGGAGACAAAAGCAGGGAACUAAGAAGUUUCCAAGAAGCUCACAUCAAUGCAGUAUUAUAAUCAAAGAACAACUGGUAUGACACUGUGUUGCAUGUGGAAGAAGCUCUAAGUAGCAGAUUGCCUGACUCUUUGGAGCCAGUGGUAUUACACCAGACGGUUGCUGUUGCAAGCUAGCAAAAAGAUGUUCUGUGCUUACAUUAGUUUGUAUGUAUUUUUAUUUGACUUUUCAGAUUUUCACUUUACAUUCACAUGGAGGAAUUGGCAGUCACUUCAAGAAGCAGCCAUAAUCAGGAUUGGAAUAAAUUUAGUUAUCUGCAAAUCCAUAUUUCAACAGCUGGAAGAAUAAUUUUCGUGAUCUGCAAGUCCAUAUUUCAACAGCUGGAAGAAGCAAGAAGUGUUAUUUUGAAGCUUGGGGUUAUUUUCUGUUGAAUUCCAAUGACUGAUGAAGGCAGUCCAGUUGAAAACCUGCUGAAAUAGCAUCUUCCAGAUUUCCAAAACUGCCUUCUACAGCCUGAUUCCAGCAUACCCUGCUUUACUGCUGGCAUCUUCCCUAGAGCUGUACUGCCUGUUUUGCUUGGCAGGUAGCUCUCCUUUUUUCCUUUCUUAUUGGUUCAAGCUUAGACCAGGAGACCACAUGCCCUGCCUGUUCCCAAGUUCUUGUCCCAAAUGCUUUUGAAAAGGUAGCAGAACCAAGAUGGAGACAGUGUCCCAGAAACUUAAGGUCU